ensembl:lncRNA
UUCUUUCCUUUUUUCUUUUUCCCUUUUUUCUUUCCUUUUUUCUUUUUCACUUAUUUUCCCUUUCUUUCCUUUCCUUUUUUUUCUGUCCUUCCCCUUUUUUUUUUCUUUUUCCAAUAUUUUAUUUUUCUUUUCCCUUUUCUUUCUUCCUGGUAUUUUUUUUAUUUUAAAGUUUUUUUCUUUCUUUUUGGCUGAAACCCUCUUUACCAGGCAGCCUCACUAAUUCCAUCUCUUUCUGCUCCAAGAUGACAGAGAGGAAUCAGAAUCCCAGCCUGGUUUGGGCUGGAAGGCUGAGUUUUAAGGCAUUUGGACUUAGAGGAAUAGCAGAUUCUCAAGGCCAGAGCUCCCAGUGUGUCCUGGUUUGGACUGAUCUUCAGAAGCGGGUGUGCCAGCUGCUGGACACCAUUCCCCGGGAGGCUGGUGCCCAGCUCGUGAGCUGUGCCAUGGACGUGGAUUCCAGGCAGAAACUCCCCCCUGACUCUGCUCCCUGGGCUGCAAGGACAAAGCAGAAUUCCGUGAUUUUGGAAAAUCAUGGGAGCAACGGCAUUUCCCAGCCCUGCCCAAGAUGUGUUGCUGGAGAAUCUGGCCACUUCAGUCACAUCCUGGGCUUCUAGAGGAGGAGAGGGGCCAGAGGAGCAGCUCUGAUUCCUGCUGGGAUCACAGGGUGCAGCUGGUCCUGCCCUGCCCUGCUGCCAUCCGGGCACCACUGCUGCCACCCUACACCUGCCCAAAAUGCUUCUGCUCCUCGGGUGCCUCAGAACUGGUCCAAAAAGGACAAGGAGAGGCUGAUUUCAUGUUUAGGUAAAUGAGAAUUUGUUUUAAAAGAACAUGGAGAGGCUGAUUUCAUGUUUAGGUAAAUGAGAAUUUGUUUUAAAAGAACAUGGAGAGAUUGAUUUCAUGUUUAGGUAGCUGAGAAUUUGUCCAAAAGAGACAAGAAAAGGCAGAUUUCAUGUUUAGCUCAGAAUUUGUACAUAAAGGACAAAAAAAAUUUUGAGUUUAGGUAGCUCAGAAUUUGUUGUUCAUAAAGGGUAAGAAAAGGCAGAUUUCCUGUUUAGGUAGGUCAGAAAUUGUUUUAAAAGGACAAGAAAAUGGUGAUUCCAUGUUUAGCUCAGAAGUUGCUCAUAAAGGACAAGAAAAUGCAGAUUUCAUGUUUAGGUAGCUUAGAAUUUGUUUUAAAAGGACAAGAAAAUGGUGAUUCCCUGUUUAGCUCAGAAUUUGUCUAAAAAGGACAAGAAAAGGCAGAUUUCGUGUUUAGGUAGCUCAGAAUUUGUUCAUAAAGGACAAGAAAAGGCAGAUUUCAUGUUUAGGUAAUUCAGAAUUUGCUCAUAAAGGACAAGAACAGGCAGAUUUCAUGUUUAGGUAGCUCAGAAAUUAUUUUAAAAGCACAAGAAAAUGGUGAUUUCAUGUUUAGUCAGAAUUUAUUCAUAAAGGACAAGGAAAGCCAGAUUUCAUGUUUAGGUAACUCAGAAUUUGUCUAAAAAGGACAAGAAAUGGCUGAUUUCAUGUUUAGGUAGCUCAGAAUUUGUUUUAUACAUAAAAGUCAAAAAUUUUAAGAUAAAAAAAUUUAAGCCUAUCCUGUCCUCCCUCUUUCUUCUUCCUUACCUCCAUGUUCUUAGUAAUGUUGGCACUCACAAAUUAGUUUAAAGUAAAAAAGCACCAUUUCAUAUAAAUAAUAAACAUUUAAAGGACUGUAAACA